GAUGGCUGUCCCGACCAUUGUGGCGUCACCCGCGGGGUACUUUAUGACGCACGAGCUGGAACUAGGCCUUUAGGGCAGUCGGCACAGUCCGGCAGCCAGACAGAGUAGCAGUUUGUGCCUGAAGCUCAGCGGGCAGCUGCGGCGACCCAACACUCAGCGGAGGCCCUUCACUCUCCGAAGAUGUCAGCCUCUCGCCGGCCCAUCAAGGGUAUCCUGAAAAACAAAGGUUCCACCACUUCCUCAGUCGCAGGCUCGGCCCAGCAGUCUGGUGGACCACUCCAGGUGGCCCGUAGAAAGAAGUCUCAGAAGUGGGACGAGUCGAACAUCUUGGCGACCUACCAUCAAGAGUACAGAGACAACGAUUUCAUGAGGAUGAAUGAGCCCAGCACUUCCCAGUUCGGUCUGCAGGACUACGGGGAAGAAACUGAAGAGGAUGAAACCACGACCAUCGACAACUUAGCCAAGAGAUUAUCCUCUAUCUAUACCUUCGAUUCCAACUAUCCAGUGCGGGAGCCAGAAUUGGAUGGAGCGCACAGCAGCAAUAUCUACCCUGACAGGCAAGAGAAACGUCGGCUGUUCGAACUGAAGAGGAAACUUCACUGCAGCGAAGGAAAGAACAUCAAAUUCGCCCGACUAUUGAUUUCCAGAGAUGAUCUGCAUGACUACGAGGAUGAUAAAUAUGAAAAAAGUUCGCUUGUCACCAGCCACGGCAAGACUACCACCCAGGAAGAAGCCGAGCAAGGCACCACCAGCGACAAAGGCCUGCAGACAAAGACCUGCUGCUACGACAAUUAUGAUGAUGAAGACGACGACGACGAGUAGACCGCAUUUGAUGAGUAGAUAACGCUCGAUCCACGCUGCAGUUGUUGGAUCCACAACUUGUUCCCGUAAUUUGCAACUUAUUGUUUGGUGCAGCUCGUGCAAGUACUGAAAUAUUAGCAGUUACAUUGCACUGGGAUAAUUCAAUGGUAAACAUAGUAAAUAAGAGCUUAAUUGGAAAAA